CCUACGGGAGGCAGCAGUGGGGAAUAUUGGACAAUGGGCGCAAGCCUGAUCCAGCCAUACCGCGUGUGUGAAGAAGGCCUUUUGGUUGUAAAGCACUUUAAGCGAGGAGGAGGCUCUUGAGGAUAAUACCCUUGAUGAGUGGACGUUACUCGCAGAAUAAGCACCGGCUAACUCUGUGCCAGCAGCCGCGGUAAUACAGAGGGUGCGAGCGUUAAUCGGAAUUACUGGGCGUAAAGCGCGCGUAGGCGGCUUGUUAAGUCGGAUGUGAAAUCCCCGGGCUCAACCUGGGCACUGCAUUCGAUACUGGCAAGCUAGAGUAUGGGAGAGGAAGGUAGAAUUCCAGGUGUAGCGGUGAAAUGCGUAGAGAUCUGGAGGAAUACCGAUGGCGAAGGCAGCCUUCUGGCCUAAUACUGACGCUGAGGUGCGAAAGCAUGGGGAGCAAACAGGAUUAGAUACCCUGGUAGUCCAUGCCGUAAACGAUGUCAACUAGCCGUUGGGGACCUUGAGUCUUUAGUGGCGCNGCACGCGAGUAAGUUAGACCGCCGUGGGAGGUACGGUCGCGAGAACGUAAACUAACAAAUAGAAGUUAGACGGCGUUGGAGGACGNGCCGACGGACGACACGAGGGAGGAGG
rnacentral:rRNA from 1 species